AGUUUGGAAUUUUUGAAAAGGUGGUCAGGGUGAACUUUACUGAAGAUCUGCCAUUUGAACAGACUCAAAAGAGAGGAGGACAUUAGCCAGGCAGUUAUUUUGGAAAUGAGUUCUGCAAAGAGAGGAGCCAGUGCAAAGGCCUUGGUGUGCUCAAGAAUAGCUGGAAGGUCAGCGUGGCUGCCGCAGGUGAGGGAUGUGGAGAGUGGUGGGAGAUGAGGUCUAAGAGGUGACAUGGGGAUGGUAGGGAAGGGGUCAAGAAAGCUCAUGAAGGCCCGAUGACAUUGAAAGAGCUGAUUUCCUUUAAGAUUCAGUCUCUUGAGGCUCAAGCAAUUUGAACCUGUGUCCAGGGUCCCUCAGAGAUCUACAGUUCUGUGGUUCUGUGACAGAGAGCAACAUCCCUGCCCACCACAGAGCGACAGCCAGGCUUACCUCAGAACUAAGAAGUCACCAGAGGAGAGAUUGGGAUUGGGAGAGGCUAGACCAGAUCCUCCAGCAGAUCAGAGACUGGACAGCAUUAACAAAUGGAAUUUUCUCUGCAACACAGGGCCCAGGUUGCACCCAGGUCCCUAAUGCUGAAGCUCCUAAUUCUUAGAAAGUAGGUUGCCUCAGAAAGUGCAGGUUGGGUUCUAGAACCAUGCAGGGAAACCAUGCAGGGCUGGGAAUGGGACCUGGAUGGAGCUUUAUACAUGCUGAGCAAGCACUCUACUGCUGAGCUCCAACCCUAGCCCCCAAAUCUUCCUAUUCUGUGAGAGUCUCAUGGUUCCAACUGAUCCCAGAGUGGUAAGUGCACCUGGAAGCAAUCUAGGGUUCAGAUUGUUUGUUCUGGAAAGACCCUAAGAGUACCCUCCUCAUGCUAGGUCUUGGGGAAGGCUGGGGAGGUAGUAGGAGGAAAGCGGGAAGGGAAGUUUCCAAACUACUCUGGGACAGGCCUCCACUCAUCCCCCACCUUAAUUAUCAGUCCAAUCUAUGCUAUCUCCAGGCCUUCCUGGGUUUUGUUUUGGGGGUCUAUUUAUUUAUAUUUUCUUCUACAUCUGUUUCUGAGACCCUUCUGUAUAGUUCUUUUGCCCUAAAUUGAUCAGUAAUGGUCUCAAACUGUGUAUGGGGUUCUGGCUGAGACCACUGGGACUUCUGAUAAUUUCCCUCAGACUCACACUGGCCAACACAAAGGUGAGGUGUCCUUCAUGGACCUGGUCUUGGGCCAAACAGUGAGAGCUUCUCUCCUGGGUAAGUGCUACAUGUCCAACUCAAGGACAACUCCUUUUUUUUUUUUUUUUUUGGUACUGAACCCAGGGGCACUGAACCACUGAGCCAUAUCACAUCUCCCAGCCCCAGCUCUUUUUAUUUUUUAUUUCAAAACAGGGUCUCAGUAAGUUGCUUAGCCCCUUACUAGGUUGCUAGGUUGCUGAGGCUGGCUUUGAACUUGCAAUCAAUCCUUCCUCAGCCUCCCAAGCAGGUGCCACAGAGCCCAGGAGCAGCUCCUCUUGAAUACCCAGUAGAAACAGACUCUUAUGUGUGAGCCCCAGGAAAUUUCUUCUGUCCUUAAGGAAUCUGAAACUAACCAGGUUCCAGUUCUGCUCAGAAAUCUACUUUCCAGUUAAGAAAAAUUCUUGUUGCCAAAUGUCCCCCUUCCACAUCCUCCCAAUACACACCACAGGGCACGUGUAAAAUAAGUCCAUUGUCUUGUCUGAGCUCAGUGUGAAUUCCUCAGCGGUUAAAAAUGUUAGUUUGUUUUUUCCUGCGUUUUACAGUCUGGUAUAAUUUCAUUAGACACCUUUCCUUCAUUCCCCCCCAAAUAAGAAUCCUGUACUGUGUGUGUCUGUGUGUGUAUGUGUGUGUGUGUGUGUGUGUUACUGGGGAUUGGCCUCCCACAAGCUAGUCAAGAGCUCCACCACUGGGCUACAUUCCCAGCCCCCAUUACCUUUUAACAUCCUCCUGUUUUGCAUUUCUUUUUUUUUUUUAAUUUUUUUUUAUUGGUUGUUCAAAACAUUAUAAAGCUCUUGACAUAUCAUAUUUCAUACAUUAGAUUCAAGUUGGUUAUGAAUGUUUUGCAUUUCUGAGACCUUUACACAUUGUCCUAAGUUUUUCUCCCACAGAGAAUUGUCAAAUAACCAAGUAGCCAGUUCACUUCCUAUUCCAUUUAUGCCUUAACACUGAGUGCGGCUCAUUUAACUGAGGUUUUCUGAAAACACAUCUAAGGAGGUAUGGAGAUAUAUGUAGAGUCAAAGAUUGCUGUGAGUUUUUUUUUUCCUUUAAAAAACUUUAUUUUUAAUGACACAAUUCUUUUCUUUAAACACUCAGAAUGCAAAGGAAUUGAUUCCUGGGGAGAAUGAUGACUAUUCUCAAGCCAGCAGGGAAAGAUGUUACCUUUCGCCUCCUUUGUCUUCUAUCAGGGGCUCACCUGGACCAUCUUCCCUUGAAUCAAUAAAAAAAGUUUCUUGCUACAAACACCACAGAACCAGCAGGCUGAGUCCUGGAUUGUUCAAAACAGCCAUUGGAAAUGCUGCUCUAAAUAAACCCCACCAAAGUCUUUAUUAACUUAGUCGAAAAGCCUCACCAGCUUCAACAAUCUCAGGACCUGGAAGAAAUGGACGUAUAGCUGCAUUAUCUGGGGACAGAAGUCAGAGCUGCCUGUCACUGCACUUGGUAUGAUGAUGGGGCCAUGGAGUGGUUAAGGGCACAGGUACAGGGUUUAACAAAGCAUAUGCCUGUGCUAGCCUGGAUAGAUUGCAUAACACUCUGUGCCUCAGGGUCCUCAUCUUUAAAAUGGGGACAAUAAAAGUAGCUACUUGAAAGUUAUUCUGAGGUUUAAAUUAAAUACUACAUGUAGAGCAAUUAAAAUAGUGCCUGAGGGCUGGUGGGUAUAGUUCAAUGAUAGAAUGCUUGCCUAACAUGCUGGAGGCCCUGGAUUCAAUCAUCAGUACUGCAAAAAUAAAUAUAUAAAUAACAAAACAACACCUGAUACAUAAUAAGCAUUUUAUAACAAUAAGCUAUUUUGUAUUAUCAUUGUACUAGCAUCUGAUAUUAACAUCUGGCAUAUGAUAUAUAUACUAGAUAUAUUCAUAUGUCUGUCCAAAGCAUAUACAAAUACUUUGUAUACAUAUACAAAGCAUAUACAUAUACUCCAUAUACACACUCCAUAUACAAAGCGAAGCUUGAGCAACUCCUUCAUUUCUCUGUGUAUUUAUAUGCACAGGGAUUGCCUGAUUGCAGAACCUUUAUAAACCCAUCAGCCAUGCCAAGAUCCUUCUACCCUAAGCUCUCCCUGCAAGCCCAUCAUCUUGCUUCCUGGCACUGAGCCUGGCAGCCUGUUCCAGCCCCACAUCAAGGUCAGAGAGGAAAGAGACAGAGGGCCAGCUGCUCCAUCUCCUUCUGUCUGGGAGGGCUGCGGCAGGCAGGGAGCAGCAAGGAUUGGGACUUUGGCAGGAGGAGUGAAGUCCCCAGCCAAGGAAUGACCAGCCAAGCAUGAGAACAGAGUCUUGCUCCCCUUCUGUCAUAUAUAACCCACAUCACACAUCCUCACAACACUCUCAACACUGCACAACAUCCCAACACUCCCAACAUGACACAACACCCCAAAACACACAACACUACAGCAUAACACAUACAACAUGACACAAUACCCCAAAACACACACUUCCAACUCUUUACAGCCCCAACACAUAUUCACAACACCAUUCAAUACCCCAACACUACACCACACCACACCACACAUGGUGCCAUAAAACACACACACACACACAACACUCACACAACACUACGCACCACCACCACACACACAGACACCAGCAAAGCUGUCCUAUCCUUUUAUACCCUCUUCCUUUUUUUUCUGUAGACCAACAGGGCAGCACUCAGCUCGUCUGCUGGGGGCCAAAGGGGAAGGGGAAGAAAGUGGGCAGGACAGGGCAGACACUGGGCCAAUCCUGGCUCAUCCGGGUACCAGCAAGAGAGCUCAACUCUCUGAGCCUCAGUUUCUCUGUCUCUGAAAUCAUCGUAAUGCUUAUAUUCAAGGAAUAUUGUUGGGAUUCAUCUAGAUAAUGACUAAGAACCAUCCCACCUAGUGCCUGGUGCACAACAACUGCCCUAGAAUUGGUAAUGGCUGAAAAUAAGGCUGGAAAGUGGAGAGGAGCAAAGAUGGAGAGAUGCAAGCUAAAGCACUCAAGGAAGGAAACCCUCACCCCAGAAAAAAAUCAGCACCCUUGUCCUCUCAUUAAGGUUGGAGUAUCCACAGCAACCCCAGGAACUUGUAUCAUCUGUCAUGAUUUCCAAUUUGGAACCUUAAAGAGAACAGCAUUAGGAAAUGUAUUAAUUAGAGUCAGGUCUUCAACCUAAAUCAUGUAUUUGAAUAGAAGAAUCCCUGCUUUAUUGUCCCAAUAGCCCGGCAGCCAGAAGCCAUAUGGUGGUUUUUGGGGAGAACACAGCUAGUGUCCUCAGCACAGCCAUCCCCAACAGCAGAGCCUGAGUGGGACCCUGACUGGCUUACUAAUGACCAUCUCAUGCUGGAACAUUUUUCCAGCUUCUCCCUCCUGGCUAUGGCUGUCCUGGGUCAUCUUCUUUUCAACAUGAUUCCCAUUUCAGGGUCCCAGGCUCCUUUAAGAAGAAACUUGGGAAAGGAUAAACUCUUCCUUGCAAUUUUUCAUAGUUCUGACUGGCUUCUGGGUCCCCUUAGAACCACUGUUUCAGGCAGCGUGGGGACAUCAGAGCCUGCUUCCUGGCUUGGCCGUACCCUACAGAGUCCAUUGGAGUUUGGCUUCCUUGAGGAUCAGAGAGUCCUUCCACCUGGAGGCCAUAUUGAGCCAAUUGGUUUACAAGCAGCCUCGUGUGGAGCACACCGUUUUGCUUAGAGGUCCAUGUUCUGGCAAUGAACCCAAAGAGGACCAGGCUGGGUGGGGAACGCACAUCCCUGCCCCACUUCAGCAACAGAAAGAGAGUUGCAAGAGUUUGCAUUUCUCUGCACAGCUUUCAGAGUGGCUCAACUCCCACAAGAAAAAUGGAAAAACCAAGUGUUGGCAAUUCCCCAAUGUUGUACCAGAGAAGAGUAUGUGGCCUUCACACAGAAAUCAGAAGAAGGGACACUCAACCUAUGCCGAUCAUCAGUUCAUUCCAUGUGUGGUAGGAAUAUCAUUAUGCCCCCUUUAUAGAAAAAGAAAAGGGCACCUGGAGGUAAAUUAACUUGCCAAGAUGUCAGGGUGGAAGAGCUGGGGUCCAAACUCAGGGAAUCUCAUCUCAGAGCCCAAACUGCUGCCUCCAUCCCACCCAUCUCUGUGAUGGGCUUGUUGUUGUUGCAGAAGCAGUGAGUGGAGACCAGGAGCAAAAUAACUUUCCUACAGAGCUCACUUCUGGCAUCACCUCCACUGAUGUCAUGCUCCCAAGCAGAUUGAGAUCUGGGAAGAGAAAUAACCAUUCAAUGAUGUGGGCUCCCUAAUGCCCUCUGCUCUCUCCUGCCCACAAAGAAAAGGCACUGGAGAGGGAUAAAUGAUGAGCCCAGUACCAAGGCCUUAUUUCGCCACCAAACCAGAGCAUCUUUUCAGAAGUGGGCCAGAGGACUUAACUCUUGGGUUUUCCCCACCCAGCCCCACUCCAAUCCCUUUGCUACAUCCACACUAGCCAGGAUAAAGCCUAAACACAUAUUCUGGUGGCUACCAGAAUUCACCAGAACACUUUCAUCUGGAUUGUGGAAAUUAAGGUAUAGCUUUUUACUCAAGAACUAAAAAAUAAGAUGGGUUGAGACUCAGCAUUACCAUGCCUCAUGUCACCUACCCUCGCAAACGACCUGAUUACAAAUUUUUGUCCAGAAUGCCUGCCAUGAGAACACUCCCUAAAGCAGUGCAGAAGCCUAGCAGUAUUCUCCACACUCCUGUGGCACUAACAAUAUCAUGAUGUCAAAAACGGGAUGGUGUUUUUGACCAAAAUCACAUACUUUCAGACACCCUAUAAUGCUGUAUUCCAGAUGGAUCUUAUAACCAUCCUGAUCAUCAUUUGACAACAGUAUGGAAACAAAACUAGUCUUUGUCAUCAUGCUUGUCCUGAAGUACACAACUUGAUUUCUUCCCAGCAUUGUCAUGGUCUGACACCCUUUUGAUUGACUGCUUCUGUGAAGGGACAAUGUAAGACGGAUGGUUUGGAAGAUCUGAAUGGAACUUAGAGAAUAGCUUUCUUUCACAGAUUUGGAAAAUGAGAUCCAGAGAAGUUUAAACCACACCAUUAUUUUACGUGUUGAGAAGGUUCUUGUGAUUAGAGACAGAACCUUGUGUCUGAGGGCUGGUUCUGCCUCUUCUGAUCCCUGUGACCUUGGUGAAGUUAUUUAUCAGCCUCGGUUUCCUCCUCUGUUAAAGGAAACCGUAAGCCUCAUCUCCCAGAACUGAGACAGGGACGACACAGGAUACCAUAGGAGGUAGAAAUGCUUUAUAAAAUGUAACAUGUUGUUCAAAGAGGGUGUAUUAUGAGAGGUGUUCCCCACCGACCCGCUCUUAUUUUUCCUUUAUUGAAAAGAGGAGAGAAGCAGCAGAGGAUGUUGGUAAUGUUUAUGCUGGCUUUCGGCAUGUUGAGCUCUCUUCUAAUUAAGAUCCUAUCUUUUCUCUUCCUCAAGCCGGGGGCAAGCCUGGCCUGGCCUUCACAGCCUCCAGACCUGCAUGCGUCACUGCUGUCAGUGAAGGACAAAACCCAAAAGGAGAAGAGGAAAAUAAAUCUUUUGUUUCUGAAGCUAAAUAACCCAAAAUGCAGCUCAAAAAGUUCCAUAAAGGUUUGGCUUUCACCAACACAGAGCGGAAACAAAGCUGACCCCUCCCCUGGCCAUGCCCUCUGACCCCACUGCCUGGAAGACUGUUCUCUCAGCCUCCUGUGCUUGCUUCAGGGUUUUUGUGGGGUGGGAGACUUGCAUUUGGGGGUCAGGGAGGGAAAGGUUUAACAUCAGCCCCAGCUUCCAAGUGGCAGGGGGAGUUUAUUGAUUAAUAUUCAUGAGCAGUGUUUUAUGCCUGCCGCAGUUUCUCAUGCAAGGUGGGUUUAGAGGGAGGAAUACAUUACGGAAAUUACCCUCCUGCCACCACCUUGGGAAAUACAGGGCCCAAGGCCCAAGUUGUAAAUAUUUAACAGGGCGAACCCCCUUUCCUUUUGACUUCCCCACCACCACCCCUCAGCCUCACCCUGUGUACAUUAAACUCAUUCUUCC
rnacentral:lncRNA from 1 species